UCCUACGGGGGGCAGCAGUGAGGAAUAUUGGUCAAUGGUCGGGAGACUGAACCAGCCAAGCCGCGUGAGGGAUGAAGGUACAGAGCAUCGUAAACCUCUUUUGUCAGGGAACAAAGGCGGGGACGUGUCCCCGGAUGAGUGUACCUGAAGAAAAAGCAUCGGCUAACUCCGUGCCAGCAGCCGCGGUAAUACGGAGGAUGCGAGCGUUAUCCGGAUUUAUUGGGUUUAAAGGGUGCGCAGGCGGUCUGUUAAGUCAGCGGUCAAAGCCCGGGGCUCAACCCCGGCCCGCCGUUGAAACUGGCAGU
rnacentral:rRNA from 1 species